rnacentral:tRNA from 1 species
ACUUAAGUAGUUUAUUAAAGAUGUUGAUUUGUGGUGUCAGAGAAGUAAGUGAAUUACCUUAGGUU